rnacentral:tRNA from 1 species
GCCCGGGUGGCGGAAUAGGUAGACGCUGCGGACUUAAAAUCCGCUCCUGUGAAAACGGGGUGCCGGUUCGAUUCCGGCCCUGGGCA